GACGAACGCUGGCGGCGUGCUUAACACAUGCAAGUCGAGCGGUAAGGCCCUUUCGGGGGUACGACGAGCGGCGAACGGGUGAGUAACACGUGGGUGACCUGCCCUCAGCUCUGGGAUAAGCCUGGGAAACCGGGUCUAAUACCGGAUAUGACUCCAUGACGCAUGUUGUGGGUGGAAAGCCUUGUGCGGCUAGAGGAUGGGCCCGCGGCCUAUCAGC
rnacentral:rRNA from 1 species